rnacentral:rRNA from 1 species
AGAAUCUUUCAUAAUUUUAAACUAUUUCUGUGGAUUUCUGUUGGAUUACAGCGUCAUUUUAUCUCACUUAUAACUAUCAACAACGGAUCUCUUGGCUCUCACAUCGAUGAAGAACGCAGCGAACCGCGAUAUUUUUUGUGACUUGCAGAUGUGAAUCAUAAAACUUUGAACGCACAUUGCGCGGUAUGGCAUUCCGUACCGCACGGAUGGAGGAGCGUGUUCCCUCUGGGAUCGCAUUGCUUUCUUGAAAUGGAUUUUUUUAAACUCUAGAUUAUUACGUCAUUUCACCUCCUUCAUCCGAGAUUACCCGCUGAACUUAAGCAUAUCAUAAGCGGAGGAA